rnacentral:rRNA from 1 species
GAUGAACGCUGGCGGCGUGCCUAAUACAUGCAAGUCGAGCGAACAGACGAGGAGCUUGCUCCUCUGACGUUAGCGGCGGACGGGUGAGUAACACGUGGAUAACCUACCUAUAAGACUGGGAUAACUUCGGGAAACCGGAGCUAAUACCGGAUAAUAUAUUGAACCGCAUGGUUCAAUAGUGAAAGACGGUUUUGCUGUCACUUAUAGAUGGAUCCGCGCCGCAUUAGCUAGUUGGUAAGGUAACGGCUUACCAAGGCAACGAUGCGUAGCCGACCUGAGAGGGUGAGCGGCCACACUGGAACUGAGACCCGGUCCAGACUCCUACGGGAGGCAGCAGUAGGGAAUCUUCCGCAAGGGGGGAAAGCCUGACGGAGCAACGCCGCGUGGGUGAUGAAGGUCUUCGGAUUGUAAAACUCUUUUAUUAGGGAAAAACAAAUGUGUAAGUAACUAUGCACGUCUUGACGGUACCUAAUCAAAAAGCCCCGGCAAACUACGU